rnacentral:rRNA from 1 species
GUGAACGCUGGCGGUAGGCCUAACACAUGCCAGUCGAACGGCAGCACAGUAAGAGCUUGCUCUUACGGUUGUCGAGUGGCGGUCGGUUUAGGAAUACAUCGGAAUCUACUUUUUCGUGGUGUAUAACGUAGGGAAACUUACGCUAAUACCGCAUACGACCUACGGGUGAAAGCAGUGGAUCUUCUUACCUUGCUCGUUUUAUUGAGCCGAUUUCGGAUUAGCUAGUUGGCGGGGUAAAGGCCCACCAAGGCGACGAUCCGUAGCUGGUCGGAGAGGAUGAUCAGCGACACUGGAAGUGAGAAACGGUCAAGAGGACGACGGGAGGCAGCAGUGGGGAAGAUUGGACAAUGGGGGGAAGGAUGAUACAGCGAGACGGAGUGGGUGAAGAAGGACUUCGGGGUGUAAAGACGUUUUGUUGGGAAAGAAAAGAAGCAGGAUAAAACAAAGAUGUAAUGACGGUACCAAAAGAAUAAGCACCGGCUAACUUCGUG